GGAGAAGAGGGCCUUACAAGAUUAAUGGAACUCCUCGAAUGUCUACAGGUAUUUUCUUCAUACAUUCUUCCUCUUUACACAGAAGGUCUGAUAGUGAUGAGGAAGGAGAGGAAACCCAGGCCACUGCUUCUUCCAAGCCCACACCCACCUCCAGAGCCACUAAACACCAUGUGAUUUCUAAAGCACUUUGCGUGCUCCCCUUCGCAAAACUGCUCUGCUACACACUGAUGGCUGAUGCAUAGCCACUGAACCAGUGGCACUGGAAGGAUCAUCCUGGAGGAGCUACUGACAGUUAGUGGUUGUUAAGAGAGAAGUCAGUUUUCUUUAAGGGUGUAUAGCCCCUGGGAGGUCAACUAUGAUCUAGAAGAUGGCCUCAGACCCAUGAAUAUAUGGAGAGCACAAAGUGGACUUGGUGGGUUACAAAACAAAAAUAAAUAAUAGGAAACACAUGUGGGGUGGGGUGGGAGAAAUUAGGGGGAAGAGGGGAAAGGGGUACAUAUAAUCAAAAUUUAUUUUACAUUUAUGUGUGAGAUUCUUAGAGAACUAAUAAAUUUCUUUCUUUGAAAAACUACCCUGUAGGCUCCAGAGAUGGUUCAGCAGUUAAGUGUACUGCUUGCCAAGAGGACUGGAGUUCAACCCCACACCAGAUGGCUCAGAACUGCCCAUAAUCUCAGCUCUACGUAAUCCAAUAACCUCUCUCUCUCUCUCUCUCUCUCUCUCUCUCUCUCUCACACACACACACACACACACACACACACACACACACACACGAUAAAUCUUUAAGAAAGACCAUCCUGCUUUUAUUGUCAAAAAAAAAAAAAUCAAUUAACUAGGGAUUGUACAAACAGGAAGAAGAGAUUUAAGCUGGUUACAGUUUAUUCAAAGUAGUCAGUGGUCAAUUAUUAUGCUAAUUGAUAAGGUAUUGGCUUAUACUGAUGGGGGUAGUGGCAUUUGAACCCAGAGUUUCAUACACACUAUGCGAGCACUCUACCACUGAGCUACAUUCUCAGCAAGCUAAUGGUGCAUUGUCUGAGGAAAGGCAGCCACCGUCUCACUUACAUACUCCUAUCUACUAAGCACUAGGGGUUUCCGCAUCUGCCCCUGUGGUGUCUGUCUCUUUUGCCCCCACCCCCCCGC
rnacentral:lncRNA from 1 species